rnacentral:rRNA from 1 species
UACGAAGGGGGCUAGCGUUGUUCGGAAUCACUGGGCGUAAAGGGCGCGUAGGGCUUUAUAAGUCGGGGGUGAAAGCCUGUGGCUCAACCACAGAAUUGCCUUCGAUACUGUAGAGCUUGAGACCGGAAGAGGUAAGUGGAACUGCGAGUGUAGAGGUGAAAUUCGUAGAUAUUCGCAAGAACACCAGUGGCGAAGGCGGCUUACUGGUCCGGUUCUGACGCUGAGGCGCGAAAGCGUGGGGAGCAAACAGG